rnacentral:rRNA from 1 species
CACUCCUACGGGAGGCAGCAGUGGGGAAUUUUGGACAAUGGGCGAAAGCCUGAUCCAGCAAUGCCGCGUGAGUGAAGAAGGCCUUCGGGUUGUAAAGCUCUUUUGUCAGGGAAGAAACGGUGAAAGCUAAUAUCUUUUGCUAAUGACGGUACCUGAAGAAUAAGCACCGGCUAACUACGUGCCAGCAGCCGCGGUAAUACGUAGGGUGCAAGCGUUAAUCGGAAUUACUGGGCGUAAAGCGUGCGCAGGCGGUUUUGUAAGUCUGAUGUGAAAUCCCCGGGCUCAACCUGGGAAUUGCAUUGGAGACUGCAAGGCUAGAAUCUGGCAGAGGGGGGUAGAAUUCCACGUGUAGCAGUGAAAUGCGUAGAUAUGUGGAGGAACACCGAUGGCGAAGGCAGCCCCCUGGGUCAAGAUUGACGCUCAUGCACGAAAGCGUGGGGAGCAAACAGGAUUAGAAACCCCGGUAGUCCCA